GUAGUGAAAUUGUGCUACAAUAAAUGGUGUUUACUUUCGAUAAAAUGUAAUCUUUAUGUCUCCAAAAGAGUAGUGGUGUUUUUAUUCAGGUGUUACUUGGUUGUGUACUUGCAUAUUUUGAUCCUGGAAACUAUUUUGUUAUGAAUGCUGUGAAAACGUUAAAAAUGAAUAUAACAAAGUAAAUGGAGAAAAACAUCUAUGAAAAAUUUUCACUGAUUUGAAUCUUAAAUAAACACCUCAAAGAUUGUGUUCUAGGAUCAAGAUGAUAUCAGGACUACGAAAAGAAUAAAAAGUAGAAGAUGAAUGAAUAUAAGUUGAAGUUUAGUACAAGGACAUCUCAAUAAAUUUUUGCCAAUCGAAUAAUACUCAAAUCAACACCCUCAGGAGCACCCAACUCCUAUCAACAUCAACAGACUGAAUCAAACAUCUGUAGAUAGUGCAUGGAAUCAAUAUAGCAGAAAUGGGCUACAGUGAGUCGGGUGGCGCCGAUGAGUUUUCAAGGAC